AUCUUUUGGUUCUUUUAUGAAAGAUGGUUUCUGCUCAGUGUUUAUAAAUAGCCGCGGUAAUUUGACCGUGCAAAGGUAGCAUAAUCAUUUGCCCUAUAAUUGAGGGCUGGAAUGAAUGGAAGAACAAGGUGUCUGCUUUGUUUUAAAGAAAAAAAAAAUUUUCUUUUUUAGUGAAGAAGCUAAAAUUAGUUUGGGGGACAAGAAGACCCUUUUGAGCUUUAUUAGUAGUGUCUUUUUUUUUCAUCACUAAUUUGGUUGGGGCGACCGAGGAARAUAGGAUCUUCCUUAUUUUACUUUGACCCGUAGGUUGCGAGCAAUGGAUUAAGCUACCAAAGGGAUAACAGCGUAAUUUUUUUUGUGAGUUCUUAUUAAAAGAAAAGAUUGCGACCUCGAUGUUGACUUAUGGUUACCUUUUGGUGCAGCAGCUAUUAAGGGUGGUCUGUUCGACCUUUAAAACCUU
rnacentral:rRNA from 1 species